GACGAACGCUGGCGGCGUGCCUAAUACAUGCAAGUUGAGCGCUGAAGGUUGGUACUUGUACCAACUGGAUGAGCAGCGAACGGGUGAGUAACGCGUGGGGAAUCUGCCUUUGAGCGGGGGACAACAUUUGGAAACGAAUGCUAAUACCGCAUAAAAACUUUAAACACAAGUUUUAAGUUUGAAAGAUGCAAUUGCAUCACUCAAGAUGAUCCCGCGUUGUAUUAGCUAGUUGGUGAGGUAAAGGCUCACCAAGGCGAUGAUACAUAGCCGACCUGAGAGGGUGAUCGGCCACAUUGGGACUGAGACACGGCCCAAACUCCUACGGGAGGCAGCAGUAGGGAAUCUUCGGCAAGGGACGAAAGUCUGACCGAGCAACGCCGCGUGAGUGAAGAAGGUUUUCGGAUCGUAAAACUCUGUUGGUAGAGAAGAACGUUGGUGAGAGUGGAAAGCUCAUCAAGUGACGGUAACUACCCAGAAAGGGACGGCUAACUACGUG
rnacentral:rRNA from 1 species